rnacentral:snRNA from 1 species
GUGCUUGCUUCGGCAGCACAUAUACUAAAAUUGGAAUGAUACAGAGAAUAUUAGCAUGGCCCCUGCGCAAGGAUGACACGCAAAUUUGUGAAGCGUUCCAUAUUUUU